rnacentral:rRNA from 1 species
UGAGUAACGCGUAUCCAACCUGCCUCUGACUGAGGGAUAACCCGUCGAAAGUCGGCCUAAUACCUCAUGGUAUCGUCUGCGGGCAUCCAACGACGAUUAAAGAUUUCAUCGGUCAGGGAUGGGGAUGCGUCUGAUUAGCUUGUUGGCGGGGUAACGGGCCCACCAAGGCUACGAUCAGUAGGGGUUCUGAGAGGAAGGUCCCCCACAUUGGAACUGAGACACGGUCCAA